UUACAGGCGGGAGGAGAUGGAUCCAGCCUAGCUGCUCCCACAUGAGAUCGCCGCCGUUCUUGCAGACUGACCGACGCCGCCAACUACUUCCGUUCCGAUCUCCGGGAUUAACAGAGAAGCUUAUCCAUCUUGUUUCUGCAAGUGAACAUUCUGGCAUUAUCUCCAAGUAAUUCAUUCAGUGGAGAGCUCCCACCUUCUUGGGAUCCUAUAGCAACACCAAAAUUCGAUAUGCAAACAAAAGGGUCCAGCACGGUUCAGUCCAGCUCCAGCAUAAUGG